UACGUAGGGCGCAAGCGUUAUCCGGAAUUAUUGGGCGUAAAGAGCUCGUAGGCGGUUUGUCGCGUCUGCCGUGAAAGUCCGGGGCUCAACUUCGGAUCUGCGGUGGGUACGGGCAGACUAGAGUGAUGUAGGGGAGACUGGAAUUCCUGGUGUAGCGGUGAAAUGCGCAGAUAUCAGGAGGAACACCGAUGGCGAAGGCAGGUCUCUGGGCAUUAACUGACGCUGAGGAGCGAAAGCAUGGGGAGCGAACAGG
rnacentral:rRNA from 1 species